rnacentral:lncRNA from 1 species
CUUAAAAGGUCCUGCCGGUGUCUUCAGCAUUCUGCCGAGUGGCAGCAUUAUUUUAGUUCUGUGGCUGCCGCUGCUCGUCCUGUCCCCUCCACUCCCAUUGCUGUUCUGCCUGGUUAAGGAUUUGCUUUGGAUACUUUUUGAGUUGCACCCCUCUGUCCUGUUGGUUUCAACGAUUUUAACGAUUUUCAGUUUUGCGUGUGGCGGGGAGCCUGGAGUCUGAACUUAUCAGCCAGUCAGGAUGUCUGCAUCGUUCCAUGUGAAACAACACCACCACCACCACAGUGACAAGAAGCAGCAGCGUGAGAGCAUCAGCCAUCACAGCUCUCGCUCCUCUUUUAGUCAGCUGUCAUAUGCUGCCCACAAGAGAAUCCAGCACAGCACCAUAGGAGUGCAGAAGAGUUCUGUCGAAUUAGAGAAGAGGUCGGAGUUCAUACCUAGCCAGCUGCUGCCGCCGAGAGUCAAGAAGUACCUGGCUAUGGACCCUGACACCAACGAUGUCAUUGGAUACAUAGUUCCUGUCUUCAGGACCAGGUGGGGGACUGGGAUGUAACAUGGUAACAUUGACAUGUUUCAGAUAGACAUUUACACUGACCCCCAGUCUUCAUGGAGG